rnacentral:lncRNA from 1 species
UCAUAAUUUUAUCUUUAUCUCCUAACACAGUGCCUGUCACAGAGCAAGAACACACCAAAUAUAUGCUGAAUAACUGCAUAAUUAGACAACUAAAUUACAAGAGAACAUCUUUGUCCAUGAUGACUAUAAUGAAACUCGAUGUUCCUAACCAGCCAGAUGGUGGGCCAGAACAUCCUCCCCUCCUAUAGAAGCAACAGAGGGCAAUAAAAGUAGUAAAGCUGAUCUUAGGUCCAGAGGAACAAAUUAUGGGGUUUCUGGUACUUACACUUUCCCGCUGUGAUACUGAGCAACAAUGUCCUUACAGCAGGUGAGUAGCUAUCAAACACAUAUUAAUUGAAAAAAAUAGCAUUAUUAAAGAUCUCCAAAACACGUUGAAGCCUGAAGCCCAGAUAUAGACACGAGUAAAGGAAGAAUUAAGAGAAAGGAAUAUGGAGAUACAGUAUGGAAGGACCAAAAGAUAUG